UACAGAGGUCUCAAGCGUUGUUCGGAUUCAUUGGGCGUAAAGGGUGCGUAGGCGGCGCGGUAAGUCGGGUGUGAAAUCUUGGAGCUUAACUCCGAAACUGCAUUCGAUACUGCCGUGCUUGAGGACUGGAGAGAAGACUGGAAUUUACGGUGUAGCGGUGAAAUGCGUAGAUAUCGUAAGGAAGACUAGUGGCGAAGGCGGGUCUCUGGACAGUUCCUGACGCUGAGGCACGAAGGUCAGGGGAGCAAACGGG
rnacentral:rRNA from 1 species